AGUGAACGCUGGCGGUAGGCCUAACACAUGCAAGUCGAACGGCAGCACAGUAAGAGCUUGCUCUUACGGGUGGCGAGUGGCGGACGGGUGAGGAAUACAUCGGAAUCUACUUUUUCGUGGGGGAUAACGUAGGGAAACUUACGCUAAUACCGCAUACGACCUACGGGUGAAAGCAGGGGAUCUUCGGACCUUGCGCGAUUGAAUGAGCCGAUGUCGGAUUAGCUAGUUGGCGGGGUAAAGGCCCACCAAGGCGACGAUCCGUAGCUGGUCUGAGAGGAUGAUCAGCCACACUGGGACUGGGACACGGUCCAGACUCCUACGGGAGGCAGCAGUGGGGAAUAUUGGACAAUGGGCGCAAGCCUGAUCCAGCCAUACCGCGUGGGUGAAGAAGGCCUUCGGGUUGUAAAGCCCUUUUGUUGGGGAAGAAAAGCAGCAGGUUAAUACCCCGCUGUUCUGACGGUACCCAAAGAAUAAGCACCGGCUAACUUCGUG
rnacentral:rRNA from 1 species